GACGAACGCUGGCGGCGUGCUUAACACAUGCAAGUCGAACGGAAAGGCCCUGCUUGCAGGGUACUCGAGUGGCGAACGGGUGAGUAACACGUGGGUGAUCUGCCCUGCACUUCGGGAUAAGCCUGGGAAACUGGGUCUAAUACCGGAUAGGAGCCAUUUUUAGUGUGAUGGUUGGAAAGUUUUUUCGGUGUAGGAUGAGCUCGCGGCCUAUCAGCUUGUUGGUGGGGUAAUGGCCUACCAAGGCGGCGACGGGUAGCCGGCCUGAGAGGGUGGACGGCCACAUUGGGACUGAGGGACGGCCCAGACUCCGACGGGAGGCAGCAGGGGGGAAGAUUGCACAAUGGGCGCAAGCCUGAUGCAGCGACGCCGCGGGGGGGAUGACGGCCUUCGGGUUGUAAACUCCUUUCGCUAGGGACGAAGCUUUUUGUGACGGUACCUAGAUAAGAAGCACCGGCUAACUACGUG
rnacentral:rRNA from 1 species